AUGGCAGUGGGCGAGCUUGAGGGCAGCAAGCCCCUGAGCAGGCUGCUGAAUGUGAUAGCCCAGGAGACUUUCCACAGGCACCCUGGCAUCACAGAGGAGCUGCUGCAGAGUCACCUGUAUCCAGAGGUGCCACCCGAGGAGUUCCGCCCCUUUCUGGCAAAGAUGAGAGGGAUUCUUAAAUCUAUUGCGUCUGCAGACAUGGAUUUCACCCAGCUGGAGGCAUACUUGACUGCUCGAACCAAAAAGCAAAGUGGGAUCACAUCUGACCAAGCUGCUGUUAUUUCUAAAUUCUGGAAGAGCCACAGGACAAAAAUCCACGAGAGCCUCAUGAACCAGAGCCGCUGGAAUAGCGGGCUUCAGGGCCUGAGCUGGAGAGCUGAUGGCAAGUCUCAGUCAAGGCACUCAGCUCAAAUACACAAGCCUGUUGCCAUUAUAGAGCUGGAAUUAGGCAAAUAUGGACAGGAAUCUGAAUUUCUGUGUUUGGAAUUUGAUGAGGUCAAAGUCAACCAAAUUCUGAAGACGCUGUCAGAGGUAGAAGAAAGUAUCACCUCACUGAUUAGCCAGCCUAACUGAAGAUGAUGUGUGAGGAGUUGGAGUUCUUGAGACCAAGGUAUUCAUGAUCCCUCUCCAAUAAUCUUUUUUAGAAAAAUUCUUGUGUCCCCAUUGGUAUUACAUCUUCGCAUUCAAAAAAAAAA